UUUUUAGCUCACCUGGCCCGAAGGGCCAAGUGAGCUUUUCUCAUCACUUGGCGUCCGGCGUCCGUCGUCGUCCGUCGUCGUUAACUUUAACAAAAAUCUUCUCCUCUGAAACUGUUGGGCCAAAUUAAUCCAAACUUGGCCAUAAUCAUCAUUGGGGUAUCUAGUUUAGAAAUUGUGUGGUGUGACCCCGCCAACCAACCAAGAUGGCCGCCACGGCUAAAAAUAGAACAUAGGGGUAAAAUGCAGUUUUUGGCUUAUAACUCAAAAACCAAAGCAUUUAGAGCAAAUCUGACAGGGGGUAAAAAUGUUCAUCAGGUCAAGAUCUAUCUGCCCUGAAAUUUUCAGAUGAAUCAGACAACCAGUUGUUGGGUUGCUGCCCCUAAAUUGGUAAUUUUAAGGAAAUUUUGCUGUUUUUGGUUAUUA
rnacentral:lncRNA from 1 species